rnacentral:rRNA from 1 species
AUUGAACGCUGGCGGCAUGCCUUACACAUGCAAGUCGAACGGUAACAGGUCUUCGGAUGCUGACGAGUGGCGAACGGGUGAGUAAUACAUCGGAACGUGCCCGAUCGUGGGGGAUAACGCAGCGAAAGCUGUGCUAAUACCGCAUACGAUCUACGGAUGAAAGCGGGGGAUCGCAAGACCUCGCGCGGACGGAGCGGCCGAUGGCAGAUUAGGUAGUUGGUGGGAUAAAAGCUUACCAAGCCGACGAUCUGUAGCUGGUCUGAGAGGACGACCAGCCACACUGGGACUGAGACACGGCCCAGACUCCUACGGGAGGCAGCAGUGGGGAAUUUUGGACAAUGGGGGAAACCCUGAUCCAGCCAUGCCGCGUGCAGGAUGAAGGCCUUCGGUUGUAAACUGCUUUGUACGGAACGAAAGGUACUUUCUAAUAAAGAAGGCGUCAUGACGGUACCGUAAGAAUAAGCACCGGCUAACUACGUGCCAGCAGCCGCGGUAAACU